GUGUCCCAACUCCAGAAUGUUCAAGAAAGAGAGAGAAUUCCUCAUCUUCUCCAAAUUUCCUAAACUUUUGAGAAAGAAAGAAUAGAGAGAAGUAACGAGAUAGAGAGGCGGACAAGCUUGAGAGUGAGGGAGAAAUUGAGGGAUUAAGUGUGGUGAUUAUUCAAGGUUAUGGAAGCAAGGAUGGAUCCAUUAGAGAAGCAAAAAAAACAUUUUUGACCAAGCCCUCAAAUUUUCAAGCAAAUUGUUUCAUAAAAGCCUAAGGUAUGAGGCAGCAUAUACAUGUUGUGUGUGGAUAAACACUAAAGGUACCAAAGUUUGAUUUGCUGAUCCGCUGGUUUAGGACAUCUGCUGUGUUAUUGAUAGUGCUCCCUUGUUCGGAGCUUGUAUUUUGGUACUGACUUUAUCUCUGUAUAUUUGAAUAUGUUGGUCAGGGGUACGACGAGGCCCUGUCCUGUCAUAUGACUAUGCUAUCAUCUGUAGAGGUCUGUAGACAGAGUUAUGUUGUGGGUUUUGUAUAUAUGGUUUGGGUUUUGUGUAUUUUGUGACGGUCUAUCAACCCUCGUGCCUAUAUCUACUUUUAUGAUAUAUUUAAUAAUUUCUUCUAAUCACUACAUAUGUUUAUUCGAUUAAA